rnacentral:lncRNA from 1 species
UGGAGGGUAGAUGGAGGGGAGCAAGGAGGGAUUGUGUAGGGCGGUGUUUGAGGGAGGCACCAAUCUUGGGGUUGGAGGAAGGCACUAGUGCAAAAUGGCUUUUGUGAUGGAGAGUGGACACUAGAGGGGAGCAGCUUGAGUGCUUUAUCCUGCGAGAGUCGAGAAAGGGAGGCCAUGGGCCAUGGAGAUGCCUGCUAGGGAGGGUUGUGGGGAACUGAUGAGAGAUUAGGAAGUCGGUGACGUAUCUGAGAUUCAGAGGUUAUUGUUGUGUGCAUGGGCAGUGAAUACAAAGGGCCCUUAGCAGGCUGACCUG